UGGGGAAUAUUGGGCAAUGGAGGAAACUCUGACCCAGCGACGCCGCGUGAGGGAUGAAGGCCUUCGGGUUGUAAACCUCUUUCGACGGGAACGAAAUUGACGGUACCCGUAGAAGAAGCGCCGGCCAACUACGUGCCAGCAGCCGCGGUAAUACGUAGGGCGCGAGCGUUGUCCGGAUUUAUUGGGCGUAAAGAGCUCGUAGGUGGUUUGUCGCGUUGUUCGUGAAAUCUCACGGCUUAACUGUGAGCG
rnacentral:rRNA from 1 species